UUUCUAUUUCAAAAUGUGACAUGUUAAUGUUGAUUGAUGGAAAUGGAAUUGAAAUUCAAACCACUGGAUGCCAUUAUUUUCUCAGGGAGAGCACUCUAUGAUUUCCUGUUGUUAGGACUUCGUUAGAUUUCUUUUCAAUUUUCUUUUUCCUUUAAAUCUUCCAUCAACGGUCAAAUGUUGGUGCAUUUUUGUGCUAAUCAGUGGUGAUGGAUUUGGAACGUAUCAAAUCACUGGUGCCUUGGCACUAUUCCACAUUUGUUCCAUAAGAGAGGAGUAAGAAGUUGUGCACUUAUCACAGUAUAAAUUAGUUGCUGUAGGUGCUAUAUGAUUGGUGCACUUACUUGGCUUAAGAAAGUUAAUGGUAAAAAAUUAUUAAAAAGGAAAGGCGCUACUUAGCCUUUUACUGUUCUGUAUGGUAGAAUAUACAAUAGGCAAGAUGCUUUGGCUAAUAGAUAAAAGAGCAUCUGUGUGUUGUAGCCUCCGUUCUGCUGUUAGUUUUUUUUUUAUAAGAACAAGUGAAGCUUCAUUGAUAUAAUUAUUCCAUUACAAGCUUAUCCACCCAUACAGUUUGGUGUACAAAAUCUGGACAUGAGUUCCACCAGAUUGAUAUGUCUUCUAUGUGCCAUGCGAAUUUUCCCAACCUGUGUGCUGCUUCAUUUCCUAGCCUGCCUACAUGUUGUAUUGUACAACCUUUGAACCAUGCCAUAAGCAUUUUUGUUUCCUUGAUGAGAUUUCCCAAUACAGACCAAGACUCAUCCUCUUGUUGCAGCUGUGUAACCAUGACUAAGGAAUCACUCUCAAUGAUAAGUUCCUCAAUCCCCAAAGGGAGGACUAGCUGCAAACCUCUCAACAUGGCUAGCAAUUCUACUUCUGCUGGAUCAUUAACCAUGGACUCCUUUUUACUAGCUGCAAGAAGGACAUCACCAUUUGUAUCUCUGAGAAUUAUGCCCACUCCAGCCCUGUAUUGUUCUUUGAAAAUGGCCCCAUCGACAUUGAGCUUCAACCCAUUAGGAGGAGGUUUCUUCCAUUGCAGCUGAGAGUAGGAUUUCUUUUCAGGGAUGGUCUGCAUGUCUUGGUACAGCUUGAGAAGGGAUAUGGCAUGCUCUAUUACCUCUGUUGGGGCUGGAGUUUUACCCUCGUGGACCAUCUGAUUCCUUCUGUACCAGAAACUCCAACUAAUCAUUACUAACAAUUCUAGAUCUUCUUUGUGACCCUUUUCAAUUACCUGAGUCAUAAUAUCCAUGAGCCUCAUAUAUCUCGUGCUUGACUGAACAAAAGGAACAAGAGGAGAUGUUUGCCAGCAUUGUUCUAAGUGCACACAAAAGGCUAGUGCAUGGGAAACGUACUCAGGUUCUUUAAGACACAAAGGACUGGAAGGAUCAGUUAGUACCUUCCUCUGUUUCAGAUUAUAUCUAGUAGGUAGGUUUUCCUUGCAUGCUCUUCAGGAAAAUAUUUUGAUUCUAUGAGGCACUCUCAGUUGCCAUAGAGCCGUCCACACCUUCUUCUGUCUUCCUGUACUUGAGCGUUCCCCUUCAAGCUGAGGCUUUCCUUUUGUUGUUAGUAAUCGAUAGGCACUCCUCACACUGAAUUUACCAUCUGUAGCGUCCCCCCUUAUCAUUUUAUCGGCAUGAUCUCCUGCUGCGAAUUUGAUCUUGUAGAUGGCAGCUGCUGCCUGUGGCUAGAACAAUCUACUGAUUUUAUUCACUUCCCACAAGCUGGUUUGUUGAUCAAUGAGAUUGAAUACAGUAGCAGUCUGAAGACUAACUUCUGCUUCCCUCAAUUCAUAAUUCAGUGGGCUAAUAUUUGGAAUCCAUUGGUCAGACCAUAUAUUGAUCGAUCUCCCAUUGCCUACCCUCCAUAUGCAUCCUUGUUUUAACAAACUCUUUGCCUCCCAAAUACCUCACCAGGCAUAGGAAGGAUUAUGCCCUUGACCUGCUUCUAGGAAGUUUCCAUGAGGAAAAUAUUUUGCUUUGUAGACCUUGUGCAACAGGGAUGAGUCCUCCUGCAUUAUGUGCCACCCUUGUUUUGCUAAAAGAGCUUUGUUGAAAGCUUUGAGGUCUUUGAAACCCAUCCCUCCUGAUCUAGGACCCCAUAUUUUUCCAGCUCACCCAAUGUAUUUUGUGCUCACUCUGCUGUCUCCCCCAGAAUUUGGCCAUUAAUCAUUCUAGUUCUUGACAUAAGGAAUUAGGAAGCUUAAAACAACUCAUGGAGAAUGUGGGGAUGGAAAGGGCUAUUGCCUUGAUGAGGAUCUCCUUGCCCCCUUGGAAUAAGAGUUUGUCCUUCCAGUGUUGUAGCUUAAGCCACACUUUGUGCUUGAUGUCUGAGAAGGUUUCUCUUUUUGCUCUUCCUACCAUAGGUGGCAAUCCCAAAUACUUCUCAUGUUGUACCACCCUUUGAAGGCCCCAAAAAUCCAUUAGUUCUUUCUGUUGAGCUUCACUAACAUUUUUACUAAAGAUCAUAGCUGUUUUGUCUCUGUUGAUUCUCUGACCCGAGAGAUGCUCAUAAUCUUCAAGUAAUUCUUGGAUAUUAGCAUUCUCCUGCAUUGAUGCUUUACAAAAAACCUCACUGUUGUCUGCAAACAAGAGGUGGUUAAUGUUUGGGGCCCCUCUACAGAUCUUGAUGCGUGUGAUCUUCUUAUUAACUUCAGCCUGAUAUUGUAAAGCAAUAAGACUUUCUGUUCCUAGAAGAAACAGGUAUGGUGACAAUGGAUCACCUUGCUUGAGACCUCUUGAUGGAUGGACUGGACCUUUUGGUUCUCCAUUGAUGAGGAUCGAAUAUGUUAGUCUUUACACGUCAUGAGCAAGUUUAUCUACUUCAGGUUGAAACCCCAGCUUCUGCAUUGUUUUUUCCAAGAAGGACCAUUCAAGUCUGUUGUAUGCCUUGCUCAUGUCGAACUUGAUGGACAUAAAUCCAGUUUUCCCCACCUUCUUCUGCUUUAAGAAAUGAACCACUUCAUGUGCUACCAGGAUAUUGUCUGUUAUUAAUCUACCAGGAUCAAAUGCACUCUGAGAGUUGGAUAUAAUCUGAGGCAGAAUUACUUUGAGCCUGUUGGCAUGGACUUUCACUAUUAGCUUAUAAGUAACAUUACACAAGCUUAUGGGUCGCUAACCAGCUACGUUUUCUGGUCUCUUCUUCUUAGGAAUUAAGGUAACGAAUGUAUGGUUCAGGGUGCUUGGAAACAUACCAGUGUUGAGGGCUGUCAAAACUGCUGAAGUAACUGAGUUACCUACAGUUUUCCAAUUGGAUUGGUAAAAGAAAGGGGCCACAUCCCAUCCGGGCCAGGAGCUGUGGUGGGAUGCAUUUGGUUUAAGGCUUUCUUGGCUUCCUCCUCAGUGAAGGGAUUAUUAAGAGUUUGAUUCAUAUCUGCUAUAACACGUCCCUCUAGAGCAGACCAGCAGUCAACCUCAUUCCUAGCAUCAUCUGUUUGGAAGGCUGAUGAAUUGAUGUUCUGGAAAUAAUCCAGGAUGACUUGGUUUCUGUUUGCCCCCAUCUGCCAGACUCCAUUCUCAUCCUGCAUCCUUUCUAUAUAAUUUUUCUUUCUCCUCUGUGAAGCUUUAUGGUGGAAAUAAGUUGUGUUUUUAUCUCCCUCUCUCAACCACAGGGCUUUGGACCGCUGGUUCCACGUGAUUUCCUCUCUCUCUAGCCAACAGUGUAACCUGUCUCGAGCUGCUUUUUGGUCUCCCACUCUCGAGCCAUUUGGAUCAGAGGUUAAUUUGUAGUCUAUGGAGUGCCUCUCUGACCUUCUUAAUAUUUGUUUGGACCUGACCAAAUUCCUUGUGAUUCCAGACUGUUAAUUGCUUACUACAUUUUCCUGUGACUUUCAUCAAGGCUUCAAAGUCAGUAUGAGCCUCAGUGUUCUUCCAUGCAUUUUCUAUGAUCUUCUCACAUCCCUUAUUUUCUACCCACAUGGCUUCAAAGCGGAAAAGUUUUUACCUCUUCUGUUUUGAUCACCUCCAUUCAGUUGUAAAAUUACUGGUACAUGAUCAGAGUGUGCUGCAUGUCCAUGAUAGACUUUCACCAUUGGCCAUAGAUUGCACCAUGACCAGUUUGCUAGAGCUCUGUCCAAUCUUUCACUGAUGCUUUCCUGAGUCCUUCUCUUGUUGCACCAUGUGUAAGGAAUACCCUCAUAUCCUAAGUCUUUGAGUAGACAGUCAUCCAACAUGGAUUUGAGUAGACAGUUAGGUUUUAUGUAAUCAGCAUGCACCAUUGUGAUAUAUUGAAGGGAGGCUAACUUUCCAGAGUAGCAAGCUAGAAUGAUAGUAUAUCUUUGUUAGUGGAUCAAGUUACUAGAUGGUUACUCUAGAAUUUUUCUUUUAUAGAUAAUCACUGUGCUGUGUUGUUUCUUGAUCAUAAUAUGCACAAUAAUGAAAUCCCUUGAUAAUGUAAGCAUAGUUAUAAUUUUAGCACUUCAUGACCUGAAGCUUGUUAGGAGAGGAG